rnacentral:rRNA from 1 species
GUGAGGAAUUUUCCGCAAUGGGCGAAAGCCUGACGGAGCAAUGCCGCGUGAAGGAUGAAGGCCUAUGGGUUGUAAACUUCUUUUCUCAGAAAAGAAUUAUGACGGUAUCUGAGGAAUAAGCAUCGGCUAACUCUGUGCCAGCAGCCGCGGUAAGACAGAGGAUGCAAGCGUUAUCCGGAAUGAUUGGGCGUAAAGCGUCUGUAGGUUGUUUAAAAAGUAUUCUGUCAAAGAUUAGGGCUUAACCCUAGAUAGGCAGAAUAAACUUUUAAGCUAGAGGUUGGUAGAGGCAGAGGGAAUUCCAGGUGGAGCGGUGAAAUGCGUAGAUAUCGGGAGGAACACCAAAGGCGAAGGCACUCUGCUGGGCCAAUACUAACACUGAGAGACGAAAGCGAGGGGAGCAAAUGGGAUUAGAUACCCCAGUAGUCC